rnacentral:rRNA from 1 species
CCGGCGUCAUGACGGCGUCAAUAGAGCGAACCACAGCAGCUGCACGGCGUCAGGUUAGUCAUCCUCCCGGUCUCCUCCCUCGCUGAAAAAUCCAGUCCUCCUCUAUCUCCCCCUCCUCCUCCUCUGCGCCUGCCUCUGUCUGGGAUCAAACCCCCCUCCCCCACGAGCUCCUCCUCGAUGCGCGGGUCUCUCGAUCCCGAUCCAUUCCCUUCUCUCCUCCGCUCGCCGCUUGGCCGUAGAAAAAAAGUCCGGGCAGGGGACAUGGCGGCUGCCGGUGACAUUUUCCCAUCGCGCCUCGAUUUGGCCGCCUCGGCGGAGGCGCUCGCGGCCUGGAGGGUCGGCGCAGCGCCUCACCUUGGCCUGGAGGCUGGCCGCCAUGGAGCUCCCCUCGGCCUAGAACUGGGGCUCGACGGGGCCUCCCUGCCCGGUUCAUGGCCGCAGCCGUCUCGGCUGUGCAUGCCGGCGUCAUGACGUGGUGGCCAGGCGCUGGUUGCUGCCUCACCCGACCCCAGUGUGCCCGAGGUGCCUGCAGGCCUCUUCGGCAUCUCUGCUCCUGGUUCGCUCUGUUUCCUCGUGGAUGCCAUAGGGGGUCGUAUUUUGUUACUAAUUACUAAGCGUUUUGGUGCAGCCCAUCCGUGGAUCAUCUCUUGCCAAUUUAAUUAUUAUCUACAUUGGUUUUUGAGCAUUAGAUCAAUUAACUGAACUGGCGUUGCUCCUCUUGUUGUGUCCCUACUGCUCACUACUCUCCUUCCCUGAUCUAAUCCCAUCUAGUCGCUGUAUUCUACCUUUCCUCUGCCUCGCUGCUGUACAAUCUGCUCACUGCCGCUGCUGUUCCUCCUCUCCUACACCUCUUGCUGCUGCUCUUCUCCCACGAAACUGUUGCUCCUCUCUUCUCUCAAUGCUCCCUGCUACCUCUUUCUUCUUCCACCUGCUGAUGCUUCUCUUUAGAUCCACAAAACUGCUGCUCUUCUUCUCAAACAUCCUCUGCUGAAGCUCUUUUCCAAACUGCUGCUGCUCUCUUUCUUUCUCUUUCUCUCACUCUUUCUAUGUGUGUGUGUGUGUGUAGUUGCUGAUAGUUAUUAGUGGAUGCAAGAUCAACUACAUUCAAAUCAGUAUUAGCUCUUUAUGUGUCUGUAUGUCAGCUUGUGUACUAUUCUGAAGACCCAAUUUGUGUUUUUUAUGUAUUAGUUUCUGCAAUAUAUGUGAAAUUGUGAGUUGUUGGGAUGAUCAUUUUCAAUUAGAUUUGUACUGUC